CUCAGGUUACUGGGAACCUUCAUCAGACACCCAAGACAGCAUCUCACUCUGUGGCCCAGGCUGGAGUGUGGUGGCACUAUCACAGUUCAUUACAGCCUCAACGUCUCGGACUCAGAUGAUCCUGCCACCUCAAUCUCCCAAGUAGUUGGGACCACAGAAGUGAUUCAGCACUCAGGAUUAUUGCCCACACCCCUACGAUUGCACCCCCAAGCAAUCACCAGCAAGCACCCAAUGCCUAGCCAUCCCCACCCCUUCCCCCAAACUACCUUUGAAAAACCCCUAACCUACCAGCCUUCAAUGAGAUUGAUUUGAGUAAUAACUCCAUCUCCAGUGUGGAGUGGCCAGCCUCACAUCAAUUAAACUCUUUCUUUACUGCAAUGCUAUGGUCUUUGUUUGUGCAGCAGGCAGGAAGAACUCCUCAGGCAGUUACACUUCGAGCCUUAAGACACCUUGAUGUCAGACUUCCAGUGCCCUGAAUUGUGACAGAAUAAAUUUCUGUUGUUUUAAAA
rnacentral:lncRNA from 1 species